GUGCUUUCUUCAGCAGCACUUAUCUAAGAUCAGAACAACAUUGAGAAGAUGAGCAUGGCACCUGCACAGGCUGACACACAAAUUUAUGAAGCAUCCCAUAUUUUU
ensembl:snRNA U6 U6 spliceosomal RNA